rnacentral:rRNA from 1 species
GAUGAACGCUGGCGGCGUGCCUAAUACAUGCAAGUCGAGCGAACAGACGAGGAGCUUGCUCCUCUGACGUUAGCGGCGGACGGGUGAGUAACACGUGGAUAACCUUCCUAUAAGACUGGGAUAACUUCGGGAAACCGGAGCUAAUACCGGAUAAUAUAUUGAACCGCAUGGUUCAAUAGUGAAAGACGGUUUUGCUGUCACUUAUAGAUGGAUCCGCGCCGCAUUAGCUAGUUGGUAAGGUAACGGCUUACCAAGGCAACGAUGCGUAGCCGACCUGAGAGGGUGAUCGGCCACACUGGAACUGAGACACGGUCCAGACUCCUACGGGAGGCAGCAGUAGGGAAUCUUCCGCAAUGGGCGAAAGCCUGACGGAGCAACGCCGCGUGAGUGAUGAAGGUCUUCGGAUCGUAAAACUCUGUUAUUAGGGAAGAACAAAUGUGUAAGUAACUAUGCACGUCUUGACGGUACCUAAUCAGAAAGCCACGGCUAACUACG